GGGAAUUCGAUUGAGUUUGAUCCUGGCUCAGGAUGAACGCUAGCGGCAGGCCUAACACAUGCAAGUCGAGGGGUAGAGGAAGCUUGCUUCCUUGAGACCGGCGCACGGGUGCGUAACGCGUAUGCAAUCUGCCUUGUACUGAGGGAUAGCCCAGAGAAAUUUGGAUUAAUACCUCAUAGCAUUAUGAAAUCGCAUGGUUUUAUAAUUAAAGUUCCAACGGUACAAGAUGAGCAUGCGUCCCAUUAGUUAGUUGGUAAGGUAACGGCUUACCAAGACGAUGAUGGGUAGGGGUCCUGAGAGGGAGAUCCCCCACACUGGUACUGAGACACGGACCAGACUCCUACGGGAGGCAGCAGUGAGGAAUAUUGGUCAAUGGACGCAAGUCUGAACCAGCCAUGCCGCGUGCAGGAUGAAGCAUCUAUGGUGUGUAAACUGCUUUUGUACGGGAAGAAACACUCCUACGUGUAGGAGCUUGACGGUACCGUAAGAAUAAGGAUUGGCUAACUCCGUGCCAGCAGCCGCGGUAAUACGGAGGAUCCAAGCGUUAUCCGGAAUCAUUGGGUUUAAAGGGUCCGUAGGCGGCUUUAUAAGUCAGUGGUGAAAGCCCAUCGCUUAACGAUGGAACGGCCAUUGAUACUGUAGAGCUUGAAUUACUUGGAAGUAACUAGAAUAUGUAGUGUAGCGGUGAAAUGCUUAGAUAUUACAUGGAAUACCAAUUGCGAAGGCAGGU
rnacentral:rRNA from 1 species